GCCUCAGGGCUGCCUGAGCAGGCAGGGGAGGCCGGGGCCGGGCGCAGGCAGCGUCCGGCCAACCCUUCCUUCCCUCCUGCUGCUCUCUCCAGCUGGCAGAGGACAGGAGUCAAGUGGCCGAGCACCUGUGCCGGGCCCUGCCCUACCUGGAGAACCCACAGGAGUCAGUGCGAGAGGCGGCCCUGAGGUUCAUCGGCAUGGCUGGGCGGUACCUGAAGGGACAGCCAGCCGAGCUUCACGUUCUCACUCAGGCCCUUGAAGCCAUGAGUAAAGAUGACAGUCCAUCCUCCACUAACCUGGAAAUCCAGGCAAUAUUUGGACAAAGAGCUACAGAACUACGGUCAUCUGCUGGACUCAGUGAACCAUGGUGCCAAGAACAGUACCAGGACAUUAUGAAGAGAGGAUCAUCAUUCAGUGUGACUGGAGCUCCAGGCACAGCUGAUGCUGGCUACAGCUGAGCCUGUGGGAGGCUCCCAUAGCUACUGCCUUCUCCCUCCCUGUUGACAGUUCCCUCCCUCCAGCCCUCAGACCCUCCCCACCCCUUUUUUUUUGCCCCCAUCUCAUCCCUUCACUUUCCCUUCCAUUAAUAAACAGUUUGUUUUUUCCCCCUUA